CAGACACUCAGAGGCUUGCAGAGGUAAAUAGUAAUAAGUAGAGCAUCGAAUCCAUGGCUGUAUGAAUUAAUGUCAGUUACCUUGGCAACCACAGCCUGUGAAAUGAGACGCAAAGACAGCAAAGAAUGAGAAAAGGAAGGAGAGUGAAGAGAUGGACAAAGAGAACAAUGGUGCAGACUUUUAAAACACUAAAGUAAAGAUGAACGGUGGUGCUCUUCUCUUUCCAUCUCUGAGCUGAGAUGGAAACCAGAAAAGACUUCUCCUCCUCUUUUCCAGCUCUACAUCUGCGUGAGGCACACUGAUUUUCUUAACCAAGAAAGAAACUUUUACAAAACACUCUUCCGCUUCAGCGUGGUAGAUCUGAAAAUGUUAACUUUUGUGCACAGAGGAAGCAAUUUUGUGAUUGUGUUUGCAAGUUUACAGUUGGUUGCAGAUAUGUGACAGGACACACUGAGGAAUCAGGAAACAGUGACUUAAUCAUGACUCCGCUUCUCAGUGACGAAUCUUGCAUUUCUGCAGCAAAAAAUACACUUACAUGUCAGUAAGAUGAUCACUAGACAUCUGCAGUAAGAUGCUGCAGAUGUUUUAUCAGUCUGUGGUAGCAAGUGUCCUGUUUUAUGCUGCAGUCUGCUGGGGAGGCAGCAUAAAACAGAAGGAUGCAAGGCGUCUGAACAAACUGAUUAAAAAAGCUGGCUCUGUGGUUGGAAUCAGAUUGAACACAUUGGAGGAUGAGGUGGAGAGACGGGCACUGAGCAAGAUGGAGGCCAUUCUGACCAACAUGGAUCAUCCACUUCACAUCUGCCUCAAUGAGCAACAAAACAUCAGUGGACGGCUCCUAUCCCUGUGCUGCAAGACCGAAAGAUUUAGGAAAUCUUUCUUGCCAUCAGCAGUCAGGCUAUUCAAUUCAAAAUUAAACAGAUAAGAACCCUGACAACUGAAUUUCCCUUCGGGGAUGAAUAAAGUAAUUCUGAUUCUGA